UACGUAGGGUGCGAGCGUUGUCCGGAAUUAUUGGGCGUAAAGGGCUCGUAGGCGGUUUGUCGCGUCGGGAGUGAAAAUCCAGGGCUUAACUCUGGACUGGCUUUCGAUCCGGGCAGACUAGAGGUAUGCAGGGGAGAACGGAAUUCCUGGUGUAGCGGUGAAAUGCGCAGAUAUCAGGAGGAACACCGGUGGCGAAGGCGGUUCUCUGGGCAUUACCUGACGCUGAGGAGCGAAAGUGUGGGGAGCGAACAGG
rnacentral:rRNA from 1 species